CGCUGCCCCGUCACCUGACCGCCGUGCGCGCGCACCGCACCGCGCACCGCACCGCCCCGCAUCCCCUCCCAUCCCGCGGGGGCGGGGGGUGCCCGGUAUAUACGGCCCCGCCGCCCCCGCCCCUCCUGCCUCCUGCAGCAGGGGAGGCCGCCGCUCGCCGCCGAGCCGCGCCCGGCCCCGCAGGUGGGCGAGCCGCAGCGGGGCCCCCCUACGCCGCGGGGUGCGGACCUGUUGCGGGCGGCUCCGCUUCUCCCCCCCAGCAGCACCGGGUCCGGUCCCAAGAUGGCAGCCGCUGCCUGGCCCCCUCCUGCGUUUUACUGCAACGUACACGAGAUGACUUUGUUCUUUGGGUGACUACUGCUAGACAGACGCAUCCUGUUGUGAUAAAGGAGACCAGCUGGAUUUAG
rnacentral:lncRNA from 1 species